GAUGAAGAACGCAGCGAAAUGCGAUACGUAAUGUGAAUUGCAGAAUUCAGUGAAUCAUCGAGUCUUUGAACGCACAUUGCGCCCCCUGGUAUUCCGGGGGUCAUGCCUGUCCGAGCGUCAUUGCUGCCCUCAAGCACGGCUUGUGUGUUGGGCCUCCGUCCUCCUCCCGGGGGACGGGCCCGAAAGGCAGCGGCGGCACCGCGUCCGGUCCUCGAGCGUAUGGGGCUUCGUCACCCGCUCUUGUAGGCCCGGCCGGCGCUUGCCGACACAUCAAUCUUUUUUCCAGGUUGACCUCGGAUCAGGUAGGGAUACCCGCUGAACUUAAGCAUAUCAAUAAGCGGAGGA
rnacentral:misc_RNA from 1 species